rnacentral:rRNA from 1 species
AAUGAACGUUGGCGGCGUGGAUUAGGCAUGCAAGUCGUGCGGCAGCAGGCCCCGCAAGGGGCGCUGGCGAGCGGCGAAAGGGAUAGUAAUGUGUGGAUACCUGCCCUGGGGACGGGGAUAGCUGCUGGAAACGGCAAUUAAUACCCGAUGAUGUCUCCGGACCAAAGGUGUGAUUCCGCCCUAGGAGGGGUCCACAUCCUAUUAGCUAGUUGGUGAGGUAACGGCUCACCAAGGCCACGAUGGGUAGCGGGUGUGAGAGCACGACCCGCAUCACUGGGGCUGAGACACUGCCCAGACACCUACGGGUGGCUGCAGUCGAGGAUCUUCGGCAAUGAGCGAAAGCUUGACCGAGCGACGCCGCGUGCGGGAUGAAGGCCUUCGGGUUGUAAACCGCUUUCGGAGGGGAGGAAAUCUAGGGGGGAUCACCCUUCUAGUUGACCUAUCCUAGGAAGAAGGACGGGCUAAGUUCGUGCCAGCAGCCGCGGUAACAC